AUUGAACGCUGGCGGCAGGCCUAACACAUGCAAGUCGAGCGAGCGGCGGACGGGUGAGUAAUGUCUGGGAAUCUGCCCGAUGGAGGGGGAUAACUACUGGAAACGGUAGCUAAUACCGCAUACUAUCAGAUGAGCCCAGAUGGGAUUAGCUAGUAGGUGGGGUAAUGGCUCACCUAGGCGACGAUCCCUCGCUGGUCUGAGAGGAUGACCAGCCACACUGGGACUGAGACACGGCCCAGACUCCUACGGGAGGCAGCAGUGGGGAAUAUUGCACAAUGGGCGCAAGCCUGAUGCAGCCAGGCCGCGUGUAUGAAGAAGGCCUUAGGGUUGUAAAGCACUUUCAGCGGGGAGGCGUUACCCGCAGAAGAAGCACCGGCUAACUCCGUGCCAGCAGCCGCGGUAAUAC
rnacentral:rRNA from 1 species